GGCCGAACCAAGUUUCAGGUUGGCACGAGGAAAACACAGAGCACCUGUGGCCGACAAUAAACUGGCAGCUUCACUUGGACCAGAAGGGCACCUGAUAUUCCAGCAUUUGCCAUCGCUUCCGAUUCCACAACACCUGAAGAACUGAACAGGUCAAGCAGCAUCUGUGGAGGCAACAGGUAUCAGAUGACAUUUCAAAUUGAGAAACCUGCACUGGGAUUAGUCAUAGAGUCCAUAAAUUUAUGACAGCACAGAAACGUAUGCUUCAGUCCAUCUAGUCUGUGCCAAACACUGUCCCCUCUUAGCUGAGUGGGUGCACUCCUGCUCACGUAGCCUUUGUGGCUGCACAGCUGAAACGUUCUUUUAUAUCAUGUUAAUAUAAUUUUGGAAUUUUAUUAGUACUAUUUUGAAAUUGUGCUGCUGUAAUUUUGAAAUCUAUGCUAAUGCAACUGUGAAGUACCCAGCGAUUAAUUAUGUGUUAAUGAAUAUAACGCAUUAAUGUUCUAAAUGAUAAAUGUACUACAAUCUUUACUUUGAAACAUUUUAGAGGUUCAACAAAUUUGCAUUGUCAGUGAUUCAAGUUACAAAACGGUUGCAAGUUGUAACAAUAAACACAAUAUGGAAGUUGAAAGCUCGUUGUUCAUAAACAGCUGGCCCGUUGAGCGCCAAUACCUUCUAGUCAAAAUAUUUUACUUUUGCCAUUGUGCCUUUCAGUUGUUCUGACUGUCUAACAUUGUUCUCUUGUGCUGUGAGUUGUGGUUUGUGGUUGUUUGAUGUGAAAAAUUCUAUAUUCUGACAUUUCUGGUAAGUAAUCUUUCAAAAAAAGUAUGAUCUAAUAGGAAUUUUUAAAUUAAAAAGUUGAGAAUAAGAUAAAAGUUUGUUUAUAUAAAAUUGUUUGCAUGACUAUUUGCACAAAAGCAUUGCAUCAAAAAUAUCACAGCAGUACUUUGAUUUCAAAUUUGUUUUUUCUGAGAAAGUUAAGACUGGGUCAACUAAGCCAGUCACAGACAUGUUGAACUAUGUGCUUAGAAAUGAAGAAUUUGAAGAACUGUCAAUUCUUGUUGAUGUUGCUGGAAGUUUUCAAGCUUCUCAUGCUGACUGCUGAUUUAAUUCCAAAGACUGUGGAUUCAGUCUUAGGAAUUAAAUGAAAUGCAAAUCCAGAAACAGACUAGAAGUGGAACAUUUUGGAUGAUCUAAUGUGAAUUAAAAUGCAUCUUUCAUCUGAAUGCAGAAUUAAU